GCAAGUCGAGGGGCAGCAUGGGACUUCGGUCCUGAUGGCGACCGGCGCACGGGUGAGUAACGCGUACACGACCUACCUUCGAGAGGGGAAUAGCCUCGGGAAACUGAGAUUAAUGCCCCAUAGUAUUAUUAUAGUAAGUAUGAUAAUUAAAGAUCCGUCGCUCGAAGAUGGGUGUGCGUAUGAUUAGAUAGUUGGUGAGGUAACGGCUCACCAAGUCUACGAUCAUUAGGGGGCGUGAGAGCGUGGCC
rnacentral:rRNA from 1 species